rnacentral:rRNA from 1 species
GGGGGAUAACGUUCGGAAACGGACGCUAAUACCGCAUACGUCCUACGGGAGAAAGCAGGGGACCUUCGGGCCUUGCGCUAUCAGAUGAGCCUAGGUCGGAUUAGCUAGUUGGUGAGGUAAUGGCUCACCAAGGCGACGAUCCGUAACUGGUCUGAGAGGAUGAUCAGUCACACUGGAACUGAGACACGGUCCAGACUCCUACGGGAGGCAGCAGUGGGGAAUAUUGGACAAUGGGCGAAAGCCUGAUCCAGCCAUGCCGCGUGUGUGAAGAAGGUCUUCGGAUUGUAAAGCACUUUAAGUUGGGAGGAAGGGCAGUUACCUAAUACGUGAUUGUUUUGACGUUACCGACAGAAUAAGCACCGGCUAACUCUGUGCCAGCAGCCGCGGUAAUACAGAGGGUGCAAGCGUUAAUCGGAAUUACUGGGCGUAAAGCGCGCGUAGGUGGUUAGUUAAGUUGGAUGUGAAAUCCCCGGGCUCAACCUGGGAACUGCAUUCAAAACUGACUGACUAGAGUAUGGU